UACGGAGGGAGCGAGCGUUGUCCGAAGUUACUGGGCGUAAAGCGCGCGUAGGCGGGGGAUUAAGUGAGAGGUGAAAGGCUGAGGCUUAACCUCAUGCAGUGCCUCUCAUACUGGUUCUCUUGAGGGCGGUAGGGAGAAGUGGAAUGGCUGGUGUAGCGGUGAAAUGCGUAGAUAUCAGUCGGAACACCGGUGGCGAAGGCGGCUUCUUGGGCCGUUCCUGACGCUGAGGCGCGAAAGCCAGGGGAGCGAACGGG
rnacentral:rRNA from 1 species